rnacentral:rRNA from 1 species
UUUUUUGACGCUGGCGGCAGGCUUAACACAUGCAAGUCGAGCGGAAACGAUGGUAGCUUGCUACCAGGCGUCGAGCGGCGGACGGGUGAGUAAUACUUAGGAAUCUACCUAGUAGUGGGGGAUAGCUCGGGGAAACUCGAAUUAAUACCGCAUACGACCUACGGGAGAAAGGGGGCAGUUUACUGCUCUCGCUAUUAGAUGAGCCUAAGUCGGAUUAGCUAGAUGGUGGGGUAAAGGCCUACCAUGGCGACGAUCUGUAGCUGGUCUGAGAGGAUGAUCAGCCACACCGGGACUGAGACACGGCCCGGACUCCUACGGGAGGCAGCAGUGGGGAAUAUUGGACAAUGGGGGAAACCCUGAUCCAGCCAUGCCGCGUGUGUGAAGAAGGCCUUUUGGUUGUAAAGCACUUUAAGCAGUGAAGAAGACUCCGUGGUUAAUACCCACGGACGAUGACAUUAGCUGCAGAAUAAGCACCGGCUAACUCUGUGCCAGCAGCCGCGGUAAUACAGAGGGUGCAAGCGUUAAUCGGAAUUCUGGGCGUAAAGGGAGCGUAGGUGGCUCGAUAAGUCAGAUGUGAAAUCCCCGGCUCAACCUGGGAACUGCAUCUGAUCUGUUGAGCUAGAGUAUGUGAGAGGAAGGUAGAAUUCCAGGUGUACCGGUGAAAUGCGUAGAGAUCUGGAGGAAUCCCAUGGCGAAGCAGCCUUUUGCAUAUCUGCCUGAGCUCGAACGUGGUACAACAGAUUAAUCCUGUAUCACCCUAAC